GGCAAUGAUGCGUAGCCGAACUGAGAGGUUGAUCGGCCACAUUGGGACUGAGACACGGCCCAAACUCCUACGGGAGGCAGCAGUAGGGAAUCUUCCACAAUGGGCGAAAGCCUGAUGGAGCAACGCCGCGUGGGUGAAGAAGGUCUUCGGAUCGUAAAACCCUGUUGUUAGAGAAGAAAGUGCGUGAGAGUAACUGUUCACGUUUCGACGGUAUCUAACCAGAAAGCCACGGCUAACUACGUGCCAGCAGCCGCGGUAAUACGUAGGUGGCAAGCGUUAUCCGGAUUUAUUGGGCGUAAAGGGAACGCAGGCGGUCUUUUAAGUCUGAUGUGAAAGCCUUCGGCUUAACCGGAGUAGUGCAUUGGAAACUGGGAGACUUGAGUGCAGAAGAGGAGAGUGGAACUCCAUGUGUAGCGGUGAAAUGCGUAGAUAUAUGGAAGAACACCAGUGGCGAAAGCGGCUCUCUGGUCUGUAACUGACGCUGAGGUUCGAAAGCGUGGGUAGCGAACAGGAUUAGAUACCCUGGUAGUCCACGCC
rnacentral:rRNA from 1 species